AUUGAACGCUGGCGGCAGGCUUAACACAUGCAAGUCGAACGGUAACAGGUCUUCGGAUGCUGACGAGUGGCGAACGGGUGAGUAAUACAUCGGAACGUGCCCGAUCGUGGGGGAUAACGGAGCGAAAGCUUUGCUAAUACCGCAUACGAUCUACGGAUGAAAGCAGGGGACCGCAAGGCCUUGCGCGGACGGAGCGGCCGAUGGCAGAUUAGGUAGUUGGUGGGAUAAAAGCUUACCAAGCCGACGAUCUGUAGCUGGUCUGAGAGGACGACCAGCCACACUGGGACUGAGACACGGCCCAGACUCCUACGGGAGGCAGCAGUGGGGAAUUUUGGACAAUGGGCGAAAGCCUGAUUCAGCCAUGCCGCGUGCAGGAUGAAGGCCUUCGGGUUGUAAACUGCUUUUGUACGGAACGAAAAGCCUCUUUCUAAUAAAGAGAGGUCAUGACGGUACCGUAAGAAUAAGCACCGGCUAACUACGUGCCAGCCGCCGCCGUAAGAC
rnacentral:rRNA from 1 species